AACGAACGCUGGCGGCAUGCCUAACACAUGCAAGUCGAACGAGACCUUCGGGUCUAGUGGCGCACGGUGCGUAACGCGUGGGAAUCUGCCCUUGGGUUCGGAAUAACAGUUAGAAAUGACUGCUAAUACCGGAUAAUGUCUUCGGACCAAAGAUUUAUCGCCCAGGGAUGAGCCCGCGUAGGAUUAGCUAGUUGGUGAGGUAAAGGCUCACCAAGGCGACGAUCCUUAGCUGGUCUGAGAGGAUGAUCAGCCACACUGGGACUGAGACACGGCCCAGACUCCUACGGGAGGCAGCAGUGGGGAAUAUUGCGCAAUGGACGAAAGUCUGACGCAGCGACGCCGCGUGGGGGGAUGAAGGUCUUCGGAUUGUAAACCCCUUUCGGGAGGGAAGAUGGAGUGGUAACCACUUGGACGGUACCUCCAGAAGCAGCACGGCUAACUUCGUGCCAGCAGCCGCGGUAAU
rnacentral:rRNA from 1 species